UUGCUUUAUUUUGCCAACAAAAAAAUUCCAAACACAGCCACAGCGCUGUUUUGCGUCUCUGUACAACAUGACAGCGUUUCGUUUCUGAUUGAAUCAACCUUUAAGAAACCAGCAUG